rnacentral:rRNA from 1 species
CCUACGGGAGGCAGCAGUGAGGAAUAUUGGUCAAUGGGCGUAAGCCUGAACCAGCCAAGUCGCGUGAGGGAUGAAGGUUCUAUGGAUCGUAAACCUCUUUUAUUCGGGACGAAACAAAUGACGGUACCGAAUGAAUAAGCCACGGCUAACUACGUGCCAGCAGCCGCGGUAAUACGUAGGUGGCAAGCGUUAUCCGGAUUUACUGGGUGUAAAGGGCGUGUAGGCGGGAGAGCAAGUCAGACGUGAAAUUCCAGGGCUCAACCCUGGAACUGCGUUUGAAACUGUUCUUCUUGAGUGAUGGAGAGGCAGGCGGAAUUCCGUGUGUAGCGGUGAAAUGCGUAGAUAUACGGAGGAACACCAGGGGCGAAGGCGGCCUGCUGGACAUUAACUGACGCUGAGGCGCGAAAGCGUGGGGAGCAAACAGGAUUAGAUACCCUUGUAGUC